rnacentral:sRNA from 1 species
GACACACGGUGUGCUGGUGGUCAAUGCAAUUUCUGGCUGCAUUGCCAAUCACUCAGGAUAUAUUCUUUUAACAUUCACAGGUGCACCUUCUCGGGCCUUAUUGGGCGCGAGAUUCCAGACCAGUUCUGUUGAUACAAGAAAACAACUAUCAGGGAUUGGUUUUUUUUUCCCUCGCAGCCUUCCAUCGCGCGGAGCUAGAAGACGGAAUCACCCUGCGUGGAGAUUUUACAUGAAACAAGCAGCCAGAGCAACAAGACCAUCCGCAAAACCAGAGGCAAUUUCCACUACACAACAUCGGUCUGAUACAUCACAAACUACAUCUUCGUUUAACCACCAUUCGCUGACACCGUGUACGCUUUCCCGCAAAUUCAAUUAAGUAGUCAAGCCAAAUUCGUUGCCACCCAUGCAUCGAGAAAAAAGAAUGUCUGUCACCACUGUCGACAAAACCGUGGCUGUAAGGAUCGUUCCUUCGUCGCGGAAAUGCCAUUAGAAAACGCAGCAUAAAGCUUCCAAGCUCCACCCGUCAAAUUACCAUAUCUCCAGUCCUAUGAGACACUGGAACUACUGAUUUCCAACACUAC